AGCAGCCGCGGUAAUUCCAGCUCCAAUAGCGUAUAUUAAAGUUGUUGCAGUUAAAAGCUCGUAGUUGAAUUUCGGGGUCUGUCCAUUGGUCGGGCUUUACGGUCCGUACUGGUGUGAUGGGUUCCUACCUUCUGAAUAACCAGCAUGCCAUUCAGUUGGUGCGUUGGGGAAGCAGAGCUAUUACCUUGAAAAAUUAGAGUGCUAAAGCAGGCUAGUGCUUGAAUAGAUUAGCAUGGAAUAAUAAAAUAGGACGGCAUGGUUCUAUUUUGUUGGUUUCUAGGAUCACCGUAAUGAUUAAUAGGGAUAGUUGGGGGCAUUAGUAUUCAAUUGUCAGAGGUGAAAAUUCUUGGAUUUAUUGAAGACUAACUUCUGCGAAAGCAUUUGCCAGGAUGUUUUCAUUAAUCAAGAACGAAAGUUAGGGGAUCGAAGACGAUCAGAUACCGUCGUAGUCUUAACCAUAAAACUAUGCCGACUAGGGAUCGGACGAUGUUAAUUUUUUUAAUGACUCGUUCGGC
rnacentral:rRNA from 1 species